rnacentral:rRNA from 1 species
AACGAACGCUGGCGGCAUGCCUAACACAUGCAAGUCGAACGAGACCUUCGGGUCUAGUGGCGCACGGGUGCGUAACGCGUGGGAACCUGCCCUUAGGUUCGGAAUAACUCCCCGAAAGGGGUGCUAAUACCGGAUAAUGUCUUCGGACCAAAGAUUUAUCGCCUUUGGAUGGGCCCGCGUUGGAUUAGCUAGUUGGUAGGGUAAAAGCCUACCAAGGCGACGAUCCAUAGCUGGUCUGAGAGGAUGAGCAGCCACACUGGGACUGAGACACGGCCCAGACUCCUACGGGAGGAAGCAGUGGGGAAUAUUGAAAAAGGGGCGAAAGCCUAAUCCAGCAAUGCCGCGGGAGUGAAGAAGGCCUUGGGGUUGAAAAGCUUUUUUACCGGGGAGGAAAAUGACAGUACCGGGAAAAUAAGCCCCGGCUAACUCCGUG